CGGACCGGCGCACGGGUGAGUAACACGUAUGCAACCUGGCCGCCACAGGGGGAUAACCCGCGGAAACGCGGCCUAAUACCCCGUGACGCCACCGGAGGGCAUCCUCCGGUGGCCAAAGGAGCGAUCCGGUGGCGGAUGGGCAUGCGGCGCAUUAGCUAGACGGCGGGGUGACGGCUCACCGUGGCGACGAUGCGUAGGGGUUCUGAGAGGAUGGCCCCCCACACUGGGACUGAGACACGGCCCAGACUCCUACGGAAGGCAGCAG
rnacentral:rRNA from 1 species